AGCAGCCGCGGUAAUUCCAGCUCCAAUAGCGUAUAUUAAAGUUGUUGCAGUUAAAGAGCUCGUAGUUGAAUUUCGGGAUCAGUUUGUUGGUCGUGCUUCGGUACGUACUGUCAUUACUGGUUUCUCCCUUCUGAAGAACCUUGAUGUCAUUAAUUUGGUGUCUUGGGGAAUCAGGACUGUUACUUUGAAAAAAUUAGAGUGUUUAAAGCAGGCAUACGCUUGAAUACAUUAGCAUGGAAUAAUGAAAUAGGACGUUUGAUUCUAUUUUGUUGGUUUCUAGGAUCGACGUAAUGAUUAAUAGGGAUAGUUGGGGGCAUUAGUAUUCAAUUGUCAGAGGUGAAAUUCUUGGAUUUAUUGAAGACUAACUACUGCGAAAGCAUUUGCCAAGGAUGUUUUCAUUAAUCAAGAACAAAAGUUAGGGGAUCGAAGACGAUCAGAUACCGUCGUAGUCUUAACCAUAAACUAUGCCGACUAGGGAUCGGAUGAUGUAUUUUUAAUGA
rnacentral:rRNA from 1 species